rnacentral:lncRNA from 1 species
GCUGAAGACUGUCUCUGACAUCAGCGGGCGAAGAUCUGCAGGGGUUUUGGAUAACACUGAUGUCCUUAUAAGUACAAUCUCCUGCUUCUGCAAACCAAAGAUAUCUGCAAACCGCACAGCUCUCCUAGUGAGUUCUCCCAGUGACAGAUGAAGUUUCAUCAGUAGAAUGGCUAUCAUAGGACUGGGAGCCUGGAGCCAAGGCUGAAUUGUGAGUACCCAAAUCAUGGCUCGACCUUAACUGCUUGUAU